rnacentral:tRNA from 1 species
CGGGGCGUGGCGCAGCCGGUAGCGCGUCUGGUUUGGGACCAGAAGGUCCCGGGUUCGAAUCCCGGCGCCCCGACCA